GUGCUCACUUUGGCAGCACACAUGCUAAAAUUGGAAUGAUACAGAGAAGAUUAACAGAGCCCCUGCGCAAGGAUGACAUCACAAGUUCAUGAAGCAUUCCAUGUUUUU